rnacentral:misc_RNA from 1 species
UUUUUUUUGAGAAUUUCCACUGAGCAAUUCUGAGAGAUAAAAAAAAAAUGCAACAAUCUAGCCAGUCUAUGCGUGGUCAGUUGUUAAAUUAAUUAAAUUAAUCCCUGAAAAUUCCAAAAAUCCAACUCAACUGAUUGAAACACAAGACCAUUUAUUUCAAAGAAACAAUUCAAAAGAAAUAACAUUGGGGACCAUUUUCUAAUGAUCGAAUGGUCUAAUUGAUGCACUUCAGUUUGAUGCCAUGAUCAGUUUUUAUGGCACCAUGUUGAAUGAAUUGCCUACCUGAUACAUUGCUUUCUAAUAAAUUUAUGAAGCCAAUCAAUAUAGGAAAAAACAGAAUGGCUUUAUAGGGAGAAAAGGCCAUAGUUGGAUUUAGCCAUCCAGUGACUCAUGCUUCAGAGUUCAGACAAAAAUAGUAUUAAGAUAUGGCAUCUAGAUGUUAACACUGGUCAAUUUUCAAAACCAACAGCACCAGGAGAUUCCUUCAACCAUAUAUAGCAAGUAGAAUUAACAGAUACCUCAAAAGAAGCAAGCUCAUCUG